GAUGAACGCUGGCGGCGUGCCUAAUACAUGCAAGUCGAGCGAACAGACGAGGAUCUUGCUCCUCUGACGUUAGCGGCGGACGGGUGAGUAACACGUGGAUAACCUAUCUAUAAGACUGGGAUAACUUCGGGAAACCGGAGCUCAUACCGGAUAAUAUAUUGAACCGCAGGGUUCAAUAGUGAAAGACGGUUUUGCUGUCACUUAUAGAUGGAUCCGCGCCGCAUUAGCUAGUUGGUAAGGUAACGGCUUACCAAGGCAACGAUGCGUAGCCGACCUGAGAGGGUGAUCGGCCACACUGGAACUGAGACACGGUCCAGACUCCUACGGGAGGCAGCAGUAGGGAAUCUUCCGCAAUGGGCGAAAGCCUGACGGAGCAACGCCGCGUGAGUGAUGAAGGUCUUCGGAUCGUAAAACUCUGUUAUUAGGGAAGAACAAAUGUGUAAGUAACUAUGCACGUCUUGACGGUACCUAAUCAGAAAGCAACGGCUAACUACGUG
rnacentral:rRNA from 1 species